GUGCAGCCUGGAGCUGCUGGGAGGAUUUGGCUGUUGCUGGGAAAAAUCUCCCCAAAUCCUUCCUGGGAGAUGGGACAGAAGGGCUGAGGAUGGGAAGCUGUGGCUCACUGUAAAACUUCUCAGCUGGGGUCCUUUGAAAGUCCUGUUGCACAUCCAGCCCUGGAGGUUCUCCAUCAACUCCUGUACCUGGAUUUCAGCACAAAUCAGUCUGGGAUGGAUCCAGGAUCCUGCUCUGUCAGCUCAGCAGCACCCAUGAGCUUCAGGCUGACAGACAGAGCUACAGAUGGGGUGAGAGGCCCCAAAAUGCCCCUCAGAGGGAGAGCCUGACCCCAGGAGACACCCAGGACAUGGAGAGGAGACCCUACAGCUUCAGAAAAAGUUUUAUCAGGCUGUGCUGCCCUGACCCUGUGCCCAUCCCACUGCCAGCUCUCACAGAACUACAGAAGGGUGGAAGGUUGGUCAGGCUGGGAGGAUCUGGAGAUGAGCCAGUCCAACCCCCAGCCAAGGCAGAGUUGGACACAGGAACCCCAGGGGUGGAGGAGGCAGCUCUGAGCCCAGACCACCCUCAGGGCACAGUGUGAAGCGGACGAUGAUUGGGGAAGUGAGGUUUUGAGGAUGGGCGCAAACCGUGACCACCAGAGACAGGAGCCCUUCCCUCAACAGCAGCUUCACGCGCACUGUGGAAGUUGAGGAUUCCUUGUUGCUCCUCUUUUAGGCUCAGCUGGCAGCCAGGAGGGACUGGAGGGCCUCGGGAGCCAUCUCGCUUUACCCCUCGCUCCUGCCCGUCGCCCUCGGGGCCGUUCCGGCUCUGCAGCACAGACAACGGGAUUAGCAUCGAUCUGCCGAGAGCAGCAUCCCGGGCACGGGCGGGAGCGCCCACCGCCCCUUCCUGCCCGCAGCUCCCCCGCAGCCACAGCUGAGUCCUCUGCAGAGCGUCCUGGCCCCAUCCUGCCCCCAGAGCUGUCCAUCGGAGGGGACAAAAGCGGGUCCUGACCCUAAUAAACCACGGCGGCCCAAAGAGACGGUGCAGAUUUGCGAGCUGAACCCCGCCUUGCAUCACCUCCCUCUCCGGGCUUGGUGUUUUGGUUACAGCUGGUUUAGGACCACGGCCAUACCCACCAGCAGCUGCCUUUUUACACACCAGAGAGAGGAAAACAUCCCUGGUUUAUCCCCAAAUGCCUCUCUGGCUCCAGCAACAUCUGUGCAGUUCCAGAGGGAAAUGGGGAGAGGGGCUGAACAUGAAAAAAAGACAAAUCGUAUUGCAUGCUGCAUUUUGAAGUGGGGAGAUCCCAGCCCAAAGAACUCCUGCAUUUAAAUUCCUUUUCCUAGGAGCUGGGUCCCCGUUGUUGCCUGGGGGCUGAUAAGGAGGGGAAGGAGCAGCACAGCCAAGGCUCUGUUUAGAAUCC